rnacentral:lncRNA from 1 species
CGCCCGCCGCCUCCUCGCCUCUCCCAUCUCACGCCUCCCUCUGCCAUGUUAUUCGCUGACGCACAAGCUUCAUCCUCUCCCCGCCUUCCCCUCCACGGCGCACUGCCUUUGUGGCCCCUUCCGCCUGCACGCGCCCGGCGCCCCCUUCCGCUCCCUUCUGCUCUGCCUUCAUGGCGCACCACCUGCGGGCACGACCUGUAGGCGCAAAUCGAGCUGAGGGCCGGCAAAAUCGAGCGAUAUUGACACCAUGAGGUAGUAU